GACGAACGCUGGCGGCGUGCUUAACACAUGCAAGUCGAACGGUGAAGGGGCCUGCUUUUGUGGGCCCUGGAUGAGUGGCGAACGGGUGAGUAACACGUGAGUAACCUGCCCCCUUCUUCUGGAUAACCGCAUGAAAGUGUGGCUAAUACGGGAUAUUCUGGGUCUGUCGCAUGAUGGGUCUGGGAAAGAUUGCGCCUUUGGGUGUUUUUGGUGGGGGAUGGGCUCGCGGCCUAUCAGCUUGUUGGUGGGGUGAUGGCCUACCAAGGCGGUGACGGGUAGCCGGCCUGAGAGGGUGGACGGUCACACUGGGACUGAGACACGGCCCAGACUCCUACGGGAGGCAGCAGUGGGGAAUAUUGCACAAUGGGCGCAAGCCUGAUGCAGCGACGCCGCGUGAGGGAUGGAGGCCUUCGGGUUGUAAACCUCUUUCGCCAGUGAAGCAGGCCUGCUCCGUGUGGGUGGGUUGACGGUAGCUGGAUAAGAAGCGCCGGCUAACUACGUG
rnacentral:rRNA from 1 species